AUUCAUUUAGUAUAUUUAAGUAUAAUAAGCUUCCAACUUAGAGGAUAAACUAGAUUAAUUGAAUA
rnacentral:tRNA from 1 species